rnacentral:rRNA from 1 species
UACAGAGGUCUCAAGCGUUGUCCGGAUUUACUGGGCGUAAAGGGCGUGCAGGCGGUUUGUUAAGUGCAGGGUGAAAGCUCCCGGCUCAACUGGGAGAGGUCCUUGCAUACUGGCAAACUCGAGGGAGGCAGAGGAAAGUGGAAUUCCCGGUGUAGUGGUGAUAUGCGUAGAUAUCGGGAGGAACACCUGUGGCGAAGGCGGCUUUCUGGGCCUUACCUGACGCUGAGACGCGAAAGCGUGGGGAGCGAACAGG